rnacentral:rRNA from 1 species
GUCCACGCCGUAAACGAUGGAUACUAGCUGUUGGGCGCAAGUUCAGUGGCUAAGCGAAAGUGAUAAGUAUCCCACCUGGGGAGUACGGGCGCAAGCCUGAAACUCAAAGGAAUUGACGGGGCCCGCACAAGCGGUGGAGCAUGUGGUUUAAUUCGAUGAUACGCGAGGAACCUUACCAAGGCUUAAAUGUAGAUUGACAGGACUGGAAACAGUUUUUCUUCGGACAAUUUACAAGGUGCUGCAUGGUUGUCGU